UACGUAGGGUGCAAGCGUUGUCCGGAAUUAUUGGGCGUAAAGAGCUCGUAGGUGGUUUGUCGCGUUGUUCGUGAAAUCUCACGGCUUAACUGUGAGCGUGCGGGCGAUACGGGCAGACUUGAGUACUGCAGGGGAGACUGGAAUUCCUGGUGUAGCGGUGGAAUGCGCAGAUAUCAGGAGGAACACCGGUGGCGAAGGCGGGUCUCUGGGCAGUAACUGACGCUGAGGAGCGAAAGCGUGGGGAGCGAACAGG
rnacentral:rRNA from 1 species